CUUGCCAUGUGAAGCAAGGGCUGGGUGAAAAGCACUACGUGGGACAAGAGAGUAAAAAAUAAUUAGAGGGUAUUAAUUAAACAUUGAACAAAUCAAGAUUUGACUAUUGGUGUUUUAGUUCCUGGAACUGAGCAGAACUCACUUCCUCUCUGCACACUGACGGACCAUAUAAAAAGGGAUCUCCCACAGUUGGUUACUCCACAAGCAUCGGAUACUCCGAAAGCAUCUCAUCAGAUCCACUAGGACAGCAGAUAUACCCAACCUGCUCUAAGAUGGCUCGGGGGAUGGAAGGAAUCCAGUUGGAAAACUUGUAUCAUCCAGAAGAUGAGAGCUUCCCCUUCUUUGACUCCUUCAGUCAAUAUCCUGGCUACUGUCCACCGGUUCAGCGUCCCAACUGGCAGUGUCCCCCAAGCUAUGUCCAAAGGUGGUGGGGCCCCUUCAAUAUCCCAGGGUGUGGCUCCUGCUAUAUCCCAGUAUAUUGCCGCCGCUGGUAUCGCCAAUAGAACUUCUAACCAUGGUCAUGUUAAGCCCAAAUGCAACUUUGGCAGGAAAGAAGACACAAGAUUCUGACCCUCGGCUGAAUGGAUGGACACAAUAUUCGGAAGUGCUGAGCGCUCCACAGACCCCGCUGCACAACCAAUGGGAUUUGUGAGGGCUCAGUAUGUCUGUUAAAUCACAUGGUGUGUUGACUUUAUGGUUUUGGCUUCCCCAUCUUUGUAUACAUGCUUCUUUUUUGGAACAGGCUCCCUUUCUGCAGUUACACCCAUUGCCUUGUGUUUGAGGCAUUUGUGAUGUGCUCGGAACAUCUGGCUCCUUCCUUUAUUUUCUCAUUAAAAUGUUCAGCAUAUCAUAGAA